AGUGAACGCUGGCGGUAGGCCUAACACAUGCAAGUCGAACGGCAGCACAGUAAGAGCUUGCGCUUACGGGUGGCGAGUGGCGGACGGGUGAGGAAUACAUCGGAAUCUACUUUUUCGUGGGGGAUCACGUAGGGAAACUUACGCUAAUACCGCAUACGACCUACGGGUGAAAGCAGGGGAUCUUCGGACCUUGCGCGAUUGAAUGAGCCGAUGUCGGAUUGGCUAGUUGGCGGGGUAAAGGCCCAGCAAGUCGCCGAUCCGUAGCUUGUCUGAGAGGAUGGUCAGCCACACUGGAAGUGAGCCACGGUCCAGACUCCUACGGUAGGCAGCAGUGGGGAAUAUUGGACAAUGGGCGCAAGCCUGAUCCAGCCGUCCCGCGUGGGUGAAGAAGGCCUUCGGGUUGUAAAGACCUUUUGUUGGGAAAGAAAAGCAGCAGGUUAAUACCACGCUGUUCUGACGGUACCCAAAGAAUAAGCACCGGCUAACUUCGUG
rnacentral:rRNA from 1 species